GCAUUGAUAGCUUAAUUUAGAGCAUAGCACUGAAGAUGCUAGGGUGGCGAUCUACGCCUCAAAGCA
rnacentral:tRNA from 1 species